GACCUUAUUCACAUUAUUAGUGUCAUGUUUCUGGCCCGUCUGCCUGCUAUGUUUUUCUCCUCAGUACUCCUCUCAUCAAGCUCAUCUGGUUCACCUGCAUGCUGCUGCGCUGGAGCACAAUCAGGCUCAUGUCUUCCACCUGUUCACCAGCAGUUAUAUUCAGCUCUCAGGCAGGCAGACGGUGCCAGAUUUUUGAAAGCCUCAGAGUGAUUAGAUAUCCAGCAUUUCUUCCUGACCUGACCACGAUCUCGAACACAUUUUUGUCCCUUGGAUUUUCCUGCCUUGUCUUGCCCACGUCGGAUUCUUCACUGGCUUCUGUUUUCUGGUCUCGACCCCGUUUCUGCCUUUUGACCUCUGCCUCCUGCCUCGCCCUUGGAUUUUGUCUGCCUGAUAUUGCCUGCAAGUGUUGGACCCUUUUUCCGUGCCCUGACCACUGCUCUUCGCCUGACCCUCAGAGAAGUUUUGCUUUGUCCUGCCCAACACAAAGAAGAGGUUCCUGUUCCAUUGCUCGUGGCUGCCUGUCCCAUACCCUGAUCCUCAAAGAACUUWAAUUUUUACGUUGUGUCUGACUGAAAUUUCGGGUCCUCAGUUCUGAGCAUUACAGUUAGGAGUUAAUUCUCAUUGUUUUGACUUUAUUCUGUAAGACUUCUCGUAAUGUUACGACUUUAUUACCGCAUUAUCAUGUUUGAUAAUACAAUAACCUUGUAUUAUAAUUAUUCAUAAUAGGAGAAUUAUCAUACAUACAACAUCAAAGUUAUAAUACAACUUUAUUCUCAUAUUUUGCAUUAUGUUUGAUAAUUUGACAAUUCUUGGAUUCUCGCUAAUAACAUGAGAAUUAGCAAAUAAUAGUAAAAUAAAGUUGUAGUGUUAUAACUAUUGUCAUAUUAUCAUAUGUGAUGCGAAAAUCUUAUUACAUAUGAGAAUUAGCAAAUAAUGCCAACAAAGUCAUAAUAUUACGACUUUAUUCUAGUAAUAUGACUUCUCAAAAAUAUUUUGACUUUAUUCACAUAUUGUUACGUGUUUAUUCACGUAUUGUUUUGACUUUAUUCUGUACAACUUCUCCUAAUGUUACAACUUUAUCGUAUCAACAUAUUUGAUAAUAUUAGAAUUAUCAAAUACUAUUAUGACUUUGUUCUCAUUCAAGUUUAGUCUUGUAAUAUUAUGACUUUAGUCUCGUAAUUUAA